rnacentral:tRNA from 1 species
GCCGGCCUAGCUCAAUUGGUAGAGCAACUGACUUGUAAUCAGUAGGUUGGGGGUUCAAGUCCUCUGGCCCUGACCC